AGAGUUUGAUCCUGGCUCAGGAUGAACGCUAGCGGCAGGCUUAACACAUGCAAGUCGAGGGGCAGCGGGGUAGCAAUACUGCCGGCGACCGGCGCACGGGUGCGUAACGCGUAUGUAAUCUGCCCGUAACAGGGGGAUAGCCCGGAGAAAUUCGGAUUAAUACCCCAUAGAAUUGCGAAAAGGCAUCUUUUUGCAAUUAAAGCUCAGGCGGUUACGGAUGAACAUGCGUGCCAUUAGUUAGUUGGUGAGGUAACGGCUCACCAAGGCGAUGAUGGCUAGGGGUUCUUAAAGGAUGAUCCCCCACACUGGCACUGAGACACGGACCAGACUCCUACGGGAGGCAGCAGUGAGGAAUAUUGGUCAAUGGGCGCAAGCCUGAACCAGCCAUGCCGCGUGCAGGACGACGGUCUUAUGGAUUGUAAACUGCUUUUAUACGAGAAGAAAUUACGUUACGUGUAAUGUAUUGACGGUAUCGUAUGAAUAAGGAUCGGCUAACUCCGUGCCAGCAGCCGCGGUAAUACGGAGGAUCCGAGCGUUAUCCGGAUUUAUUAGGUUUAAAGGGUGCGUAGGCGGGCGAAUAAGUCAGAGGUGAAAUCCUACAGCUUAACUGUAGAACAGCCUUUGAUACUGUUUGUCUUGAGUACAGUUGAGGCAGGCGGAAUGAGUAGUGUAGCGGUGAAAUGCUUAGAUAUUACUCAGAACUCCGAUUGCGAAGGCAGCUUGCUAAGCUGAAACUGACGCUGAGGCACGAAAGCGUGGGGAGCGAACAGGAUUAGAUACCCUGGUAGUCCACGCCGUAAACGAUGAUUACUCGUUGUGUGCGAUAUACUGCACGCGACUGAGCGAAAGCAUUAAGUAAUCCACCUGGGGAGUACGGCGGCAACGCUGAAACUCAAAGGAAUUGACGGGGGCCCGCACAAGCGGAGGAACAUGUGGUUUAAUUCGAUGAUACGCGAGGAACCUUACCCGGGCUUAAAUGUAGAAUGACCGAUGCCGAAAGGUGUCUUCUCUUCGGAGCAAUUUACAAGGUGCUGCAUGGUUGUCGUCAGCUCGUGCCGUGAGGUGUCGGGUUAAGUCCCAUAACGAGCGCAACCCUCGUGACUAGUUACUAACGGUUCGGCCGAGGACUCUAGUCAGACUGCCUUCGUAAGGAGGAGGAAGGUGAGGACGACGUCAAGUCAUCAUGGCCCUUACGGCUAGGGCGACACACGUGCUACAAUGGGCAGGACAAUGAGACGCAAUACCGCGAGGUGGAGCAAAUCUAUAAACCUGCUCUCAGUUCGGAUUGUAGUCUGCAACUCGACUACAUGAAGCUGGAAUCACUAGUAAUCGUAGAUCAGCCAUGCUACGGUGAAUACGUUCCCGGGUCUUGUACUCACCGCCCGUCACACCAUGGGAGUUGAUUUCACCCGAAGCGGGGAAGCUAAACUGGCUACCCUCCACGGUGGAAUCAGCGACUGGGGUGAAGUCGUAACAAGGUAACC
rnacentral:rRNA from 1 species